GUGGGUGCUGGCCUGGCCGGGCAGGGUGCUCGCGUCAGCCUGGGCCAGGUUCAGGACCAGGCUCCAGCC
rnacentral:tRNA from 1 species